rnacentral:rRNA from 1 species
UAGAGUUUGAUCCUGGCUCAGGAUGAACGCUGGCGGCGUGCCUAAUACAUGCAAGUCGAACGAAUCUCUUUUAGAGAUGAGUGGCGAACGGGUGAGUAAUACAUAGGUAACCUGCCCCUGUGCGGGGGAUAACAGGAGGAAACUCCUGCUAAUACCGCAUAGCCAUGAGCACCGCAUGGAGCUCAUGCCAAAUAUCCUUUAUGGGAUAGCGCAGGGAUGGACCUAUGGCGCAUUAGCUGGUUGGCGGGGCAACGGCCCACCAAGGCAACGAUGCGUAGCCGGCCUGAGAGGGCGGACGGCCACAUUGGGACUGAGACACGGCCCAGACUCCUACGGGAGGCAGCAGUAGGGAAUUUUCGGCAAUGGGGGAAACCCUGACCGAGCAACGCCGCGUGAGCGAAGAAGGCCUUCGGGUCGUAAAGCUCUGUUGUAAAGGAAGAACGGCGCAUACAGGAAAUGGUAUGCGAGUGACGGUACUUUACCAGAAAGCCACGGCUAACUACGUGCCAGCAGCCGCGGUAAUACGUAGGUGGCGAGCGUUAUCCGGAAUCAUUGGGCGUAAAGAGGGAGCAGGCGGCCGCAAGGGUCUGUGGUGAAAGCCCGAAGCUAAACUUCGGUAAGCCAUGGAAACCGGGCGGCUAGAGUGCGGAAGAGGAUCGUGGAAUUCCAUGUGUAGCGGUGAAAUGCGUAGAUAUAUGGAGGAACACCAGUGGCGAAGGCGACGGUCUGGGCCGCAACUGACGCUCAUUCCCGAAAGCGUGGGGAGCAAAUAGGAUUAGAUACCCUAGUAGUCCACGCCGUAAACGAUGGUCACUAAGUGUCGGGGGUCAAACCCCGGUGCUGCAGUCAACGCAAUAAGUGACCCGCCUGAGUAGUACGUUCGCAAGAAUGAAACUCAAAGGAAUUGACG